rnacentral:rRNA from 1 species
CAGCAGCCGCGGUAAUACCGGCGGCCCGAGUGGCGGCCACUAUUAUUGGGCUUAAAGCGUCCGUAGCCGGGUUGGUUAGUCUCCCGGGAAAUCUGGCCGCUUAACGGUCAGAAUUCCGGGAGAUACUGCCAGCCUAGGGACCGGGAGAGGCCGAGGGUAUUCCCGGAGUAGGGGUGAAAUCCUAUAAUCCCGGGAGGACCACCUGUGGCGAAGGCGCUCGGCUGGAACGGGUCCGACGGUGAGGGACGAAGGCCAGGGGAGCAAACCGGAUUAGAUACCCGGGUAGUCCUGGCGGUAAAGGAUGCGGGCUAGGUGUCGGGUGAGCUUCGGGCUCGCCCGGUGCCGUAGGGAAGCCGUUAAGCCCGCCGCCUGGGGAGUACGGCCGCAAGGCUGAAACUUAAAGGAAUUGGCGGG